rnacentral:rRNA from 3 species
GGGCUGCAGUAUUUUGACUGUACAAAGGUAGCAUAAUCAAUAGUCUCUUAAUUAGUGACUUGUAUGAAAGAUUGGAUGAAAUAUAUUCUGUCUCUAAUUAAUUUAUAGAAAUUAAUUUUUUAGUAAAAAAGCUAAAAUAAUUUUAAAAGACGAGAAGACCCUAUAGAGUUUAAUAAUUUAUUUAAUUAUUAUUAAUAUAUAAUUUUUAAAAUUAAAAUUAAAUAAAUUAUUUUGUUGGGGUGAUAGAAAAAUUAAAUUAACUUUUUUUAUUUAUUAACAUUAAUUUAUGAUUAGAUGAUCCAUUAAUAAUGAUUAAAAGAAAAAAUUACCUUAGGGAUAACAGCGUAAUUUUUUUUUUUAGUUCAAAUAGGAAAAAAAGUUUGCGACCUCGAUGUUGGAUUAA